rnacentral:lncRNA from 1 species
CUUGACCAAAAUUCUUCUUCCCCAGUCCAGGCAUUCCAACAGUUGAUAACAUCUAGAUCUGCCAAUCCUUUGUAUUUUUGUUCUUCUGUUUUUCACAUGACAUCUUCAAAACCCACUAUGAGCUUCAUUAUGAGCUAUGAAAUGGUGAGUUUUGAUGAUGUCAUGCCUAAAAUAGGAUUAAUGAAAGUAUUAGUAAAAAGGUGUUCAAAUCUGGAGGUUAUGUUAAGCUGGUGGUAUGCUUUGACUGGGAAAGAUGACUUAGGUCAAAAUAAAUAUAUCCAGAUCUGGCACAAUCUUGUGUUUGCUAAUGGUGAGAUUACUAUACUCAGUGAAAUAAUGAUGAAUUAGUAUAGUAGCUAAGUCUUAAUGAUGAAUUAGCAGCUAACUUUUAUUGUAAAUAAGAUAUACGAAGAAAAAGCCUAUUUGACAAUGAAAAUGACCAAACAUAAUAGUAUAGGCACCUUAGAUUUUGCAACAUGAGUGAAGUACAAGCAUAAAUUUUGUCAAGUCUGAGAGUGUUUUCAAGACUUUUGUUUGUUUUUUAAUUAAGAGUUUCGUGCUCCUACCAGAGUAAAAUUGAGAUUAUUUUCUAUGGCAUGUGACAUAUCAGGUGUAUUUGAAUUCAGUUAGUCAACUUCGGUGGAUGUUGUGUAUUUAAGUUUAGUUAGUUGAGUAUAGCGGGUGUUUAUAAGGCUGUCAAUGGUUUGAGAAUGAAACUAAUAAUUUGCGUGAAGUUUGGGUGUUUUCAAGCAGCUUACUGAUAAUAAUUUGGAAAAUAGUACUGAUUUACUUGGUCAAGAAAAUACAUUCAGAUCGGCACAAUCUUUAGUGUUACUAGCUAUUGUACAUGAUGCUAUUAGUGAGAUUACUUGGCUCAGUGAAGUCCUAAUGAUGAAUUAGUUGCUAAUCUUGUGUGUUUCUAACUAUUCUACAUGAUGCUAUUAUGAUAUUACUAGACUCAUUGAAGUCCUAAUGAUGAAUUAGUAGCUAAUCUUGUGUUAUGCUAGCUAUUCUACAUGAUUGCUAUUAAUGAGAUUGCUAGGCUCAGUGAAGUCCUAAUGAUGAAUUAGUUGCUAAUCUUGUGUGUUUCUAACUAUUCUACAUGAUGCUAUUAUGAUAUUACUAGACUCAUUGAAGUCCUAAUGAUGAAUUAGUAGCUAAUCUUGUGUUAUGCUAGCUAUUCUACAUGAUUGCUAUUAAUGAGAUUGCUAGGCUCAGUGAAGUCCUAAUGAUGAAUUAGCGUGUUACUAGCUAUUCUAUAUGAUGCUAUUAAUGAUAUCACUAGACUCAGUGAAGUCCUAAUGAUGAUUUAGUAGCUCAUCUUGUGUGUUACUAGCUAUUCUACAUGAUGCUAUUAGUGAGAUUACUAGACUCAUUGAAGUCCUAAUGAUGAAUUAGUAGCUAGUCUUGUGUGUUACUAGCUGUUCUGCAUGAUGCUAUUAAUGAGAUCACUAGACUUAGUGAAGUCCUAAUGAUGAAUUAGUAGCUAAAAUGAAUAAACUUUUAUUGUAAGUUAGGUAUACGAAGGAAAACUGUAUCUGACAAUGAAGGUGACCAAAGAUAUUAGUAAGAAGUAACUUACUGAUAAUAAUUUGGGAAAUUGUACAUGUAAUUACCUGAUUAACUUUGGUUAAGGGCCAAAGUUGGAUACCUUUAGAGAUAACAAAAAAAAACUUGUGGAAGGUUACCUCAUUUAGUUGUUCUGGUAUCAGGUUUGAUGUAAUACAUCUUAGUUAAGAAUUUAUCCUAUCAUUUUAAGUUGUGCUUUCUGUAUUUUUGGAGGAUUUUUAGAAAACAAAACACGAAGUUUCAAAAUCUGGUAAAGUCAAAGCAAGCCUAGGAGAGUUCCUGCUGUUUAUCCCUUUAUUCUCAAGAAGAUAAAUUCGUAAAAUGGAGUUCAUCAUGGUCACUUGCAGCUAGCUAUAUUCAGGGAUGCUAGCAUUGUCUUCUAAAAAAUGUCACACAAAUUGCUUCGUCUUCAAAUAUCUUUCAGAAGCUCCAAGUUUUUCAGCAUUACUGGAUUUGGAAUUCACCCUUGACUUAUCUUGAUGUUCAGGUUUUUGAGGAACGCAGGUUACCAUUCCUAGCCAAUGUUUUGAACCUUGAAACUUUGAUAGUUAAAAGAAUUGGAGGUAGACUAAUAUUACAAGGUAUCUUUUGAAGAUGGCUAAGUUGUGACGCUCUGCAUCUUUUUCUUGAGCAGAUGAUGCAAACUUGAUCUCAGAGAAGAUAGUGUUUAGAAACUGAGAUGUAGAUUUUCAACAUAUAACGGCUUUGUUCCCUACGUUCAACAACCUUAAUAAUGUUGAAAUGCCCAAUGUUUCUUGUGGUGGUACAGAGUUGUGAGUCUAUGACCUCAAGUUCCCUCUAAAUCAGAUAUGGAGCUAGCAUUUUAAGUUUAUGAGUUUUGCAUUGUAGAAAACACAGCUUAGUUGGUGCUUGACAAGUUAUUUAUACAUAUUAAGUGGAUUUUAAACGCAACUACACGGUUUUAGUCUAAGCUAUUGGGUUCUACCAAACCCAUAGGCAAAACUGUAGCUCUGCGUCUAGUUUAGAUCUUGUGAAGUUAGCAGUAUCCAACACUUUGUGUAUACAUACUUCAUGCUUCCUAAUCUUAGAGUUCGAACUGUCAUAUAUAUGUGAUUUCCUUCAAGACAAAUUCUUGAAACAAGAAAAUACUACUUCAGAAUGGAGUAUCCUGGACAUCGCCUAUUCUUGCGUAGAACAUUUGAUUUUUCAUACAUGUACUCAACUUAAGGUGGUCCAUAUCUUUUUGGGACAUUUCUACUUUGAAGGCCGUUGAUCAGGGCAAAACAAGUUGAAGAUGAAAAUUUCAGGUAACAAGCUGCUCUUCUGAAGUAGAUAAUGCUCCAACCCUAAAAUGGCAUUUUAAAUUGCUUGUCUGGUAACCUCUUGAGUCUCAAGGAAUGCUAGUCUUAUUUUGAGUCCUCGUUAAAUGGUUUCGUUUGAUACUUGCUCCUUGGGUAUUUGUUUUGGUACCUAGCAUGUUUGGAGCCUGAAUAUGUUUCUGUUAAAUUUCUAACUUUGUUUGUACUUUCUUGGCUUAGGCUUAACAUUGAACAUGAAAUGGAAAGUCUAUCAAUUUAAAAGGACUUUCUUUUAGCUACCGUCCCAAACAAAAGAGAUUAGCCUCUUGAUUGAUCGAUUAAUUGGAUCGAAGUACGAAGGGGCUGAUUGAAAUCUGAGAUCAGUCCAAGACUAAGGAUGAGCAACUAGCUGCUGCAGGAUUGGAUGUCUAUCUAUCUCACCACACUCUGCUACUCCUAUAAAGGCCGACGGAAGGAAUGUUCUGCUCAUAUUUCUUAAGGCUUGUUACUGCAGCGCUCAUUAACCCCUUCUGCUUCUUCCAUUAAAAAAAAAAAGGUAGUUACUUCAGCUACCAGAGUUGGACCUUAUUCACACUUGUAAGAUAUACUAUCAUUGCUCUUGAAGGUAGCUAGAUCAUGGGAAUCUUAGUAGUCCGAACUUUUCCUUGUUGGUGAGGGUUUAAUUUUCAACCUUGUAACUCUCUCUGUUCCCCUUCCCGCUGUGGUUUGACAUAAUUAGUUUUCUGGUGUUUUGAGAAGUGUCUACAAAUUGUUUUGAUGUUUUAACCAAGCAUGGAGAAAUUGCUUCAACAACAACAACAUACCCUGUGAAAUCCCAUUAAGUGGGGUCAGCGGAGGGUAGAAUGUACACAGACCUUACUACUACCUCGUGGAGGUAUAUAUCUGGUUGUCACCAAAGGGUGUUCCUGCCAUAUUCAUUUAGGGCCUUUAAUAUGGCUCAGUUUUCUUGUUGUCUGAUUCCAUUGGGAGCUCUAGCAUGAAUAUUUUUAGUGAUAUUGAGAGACAUAGUUGAUAAUGAAUAAGAUAUUGACGUUAACCUGUGUUGUUCUUCACAAGCAACAUUUUGUAAAUCUGCAGAUGGUGACAUCUCGUAUUGUACUUAAUGGUUCGUUUUAGUGUAAGUGUAGGUUCAUGCCUUCGUUCAUCGUUCAUCUAUAGGUGCAUUUUGAUACAGAUUGUUGUAUGGCGUCGCGAUUUGCAUCAUGUUUUUGAAUGCUUUGCUAUUUAGCAGCCAGUGAUCCACUUCUGGAUUUGGCUGCAUCUAUAAAUGCAUGUUUUGGUUCUGUUUAAUACACAUUCCUCCUUGUACAUUUUACUGCAAAUUCCAAAUAUAAAGUCAAGUUGUAUGGCUUAUUUAUUUUUUUGCUUGUUUAUAUUAGGUAGAAGAAAAUGGAAGCUUGUACAACACCAAAUAUAGGUAACAAUGAUGGGAGUCUCAAGAUAUUCAUGUUGUUUUCCUCGGGACGGAAGCGGAUUCAGAAUUUGAAGUUUAUAGUAUCCUAUAAUGAUCUCAAGUGAGUAACUGAAUUCAUAGUCAAAUAACUAUAGUCAUUCAGUGAAUUCCUUAAUACAUAUAUAGGGUUCGAAUAUAAGUUAUUGAAUUUCCGUAAACCCAUGGAGAAACAAACUUCUAUUCC